AGGUGGGUGAAGCUGACUAUUUAUAGGAGCAAUCAUUGGGUGAUCAUUAGGAAUCCUUAGAUGUGGGACUCAGCAUUAUAGCUUGCAAGGUCUUGUUCUUUUUGAAAGUUUAUGAGCUGAGUUCUGUUUUGCUUUGUAGCAGAUUUGAUACCUUCAAAAGUGAUGGCUGCAGUAGGUUGGCAUGGGGCUGUUAUAGGAAUUAAAAGGGAUUGGAGGGUUAUAGUAAUGGUUAGAAAUGUUAGCUGAAUUCUGCUAUGGAUUGCAAAAUCUAUUAGGAGUUUUUUCUUUUGUUUGGAAUACUGCAAUGUCUUGGUAGGUAAGUAAGAAUGGAGUCACAACAUGGGAGAGUUGGAUGAAGACAUGGCUUGAGGCUUGAGGCCAGAGCGGUGCAUUUGAAAGACUUUGAAACCCCUCUUUUUUGUAGUUCUCUUUGAUGUAACUUCACUUCUUG